rnacentral:rRNA from 1 species
GAUGAACGCUGGCGGCGUGCCUAAUACAUGCAAGUCGAGCGAACGGACGAGAAGCUUGCUUCUCUGAUGUUAGCGGAGGACGGGUGAGUAACACGUGGAUAACCUACCUAUAAGACUGGGAUAACUUCGGGAAACCGGAGCUAAUACCGGAUAAUAUUUUGAACCGCGUGGGUCAAAAGUGAAAGACGGUCUUGCUGUCACUUAUAGAUGGAUCCGCGCUGCAUUAGCUAGUUGGUAAGGUAACGGCUUACCAAGGCAACGAUGCAUAGCCGACCUGAGAGGGUGAUCGGCCACACUGGAACUGAGACACGGUCCAGACUCCUACGGGAGGCAGCAGUAGGGAAUCUUCCGCAAUGGGCGAAAGCCUGACGGAGCAACGCCGCGUGAGUGAUGAAGGUCUUCGGAUCGUAAAACUCUGUUAUUAGGGAAGAACAUAUGUGUAAGUAACUGUGCACAUCUUGACGGUACCUAAUCAGAAAGCCACGGCUAACUACGUG